ensembl:lncRNA
CAGCUGUCUCUAAGCACUGCAAUCAAUCAAGUGCUGUUCAGGAUUCCAGCCUGCAGAGAGCACGCAAACCUGGGCACUCAAGGGGCAGCUCCUAUGGUCUCAAUGCCAUCAGCACCUUGACACGGGACUGCGACUUCUAUAGCCAAUCGCAUCUUGAGCAGCAAAUGAGGUGCAUCUUUGAAUAUGAGGGUUGAAAAGCCGAUCGACGGUCAAGUUCUGAAAUAAACAGAAAAAAUGUGUCAUCGGUUGUUUCUGCAAAUGUUUGAUGUUGCUCAGAACACUGUGGGACGGAGUCAUGUGUAAAUCACAAACAGUCUUAACACACUCUAGAC